rnacentral:rRNA from 1 species
GCAUAACGCGAAGAACCUUACCCACCUUUGACAUGUACGGAAUCCUUUAGAGAUAGAGGAGUGCUCGAAAGAGAGCCGUAACACAGGUGCUGCAUGGCUGUCGUCAGCUCGUGUCGUGAGAUGUUGGGUUAAGUCCCGCAACGAGCGCAACCCUUGCCAUUAGUUGCUACGAAAGGGCACUCUAAUGGGACUGCCGGUGACAAACCGGAGGAAGGUGGGGGAUGACGUCAAGUCCUCAUGGCCCUUAUAGGUGGGGCUACACACGUCAUACAAUGGCUGGUACAAAGGGUUGCCAACCCGCGAGGGGGAGCUAAUCCCAUAAAGCCAGUCGUAGUCCGGAUCGCAGUCUGCAACUCGACUGCGUGAAGUCGGAAUCGCUAGUAAUCGUGGAUCAGAAUGUCACGGUGAAUACGUUCCCGGGUC